UAGCCUAGUGGUUAAGGCUACAGAUUGCCAAUCUGGAGAUGGCGGGUUCGAUUCCCGU
rfam:Aedes albopictus isolate Foshan contig69652, whole genome shotgun sequence.